AUUGAACGCUGGCGGGAUGCCUUACACAUGCAAGUCGAACGGCAGCACGGACUUCGGUCUGGUGGCGAGUGGCGAACGGGUGAGUAAUGUAUCGGAACGUGCCUAGUAGCGGGGGAUAACUACGCGAAAGCGUAGCUAAUACCGCAUACGCCCUACGGGGGAAAGGGGGGGAUCGCAAGACCUCUCACUAUUAGAGCGGCCGAUAUCGGAUUAGCUAGUUGGUGGGGUAAAGGCCUACCAAGGCGACGAUCCGUAGCUGGUUUGAGAGGACGACCAGCCACCCUGGGACUGAGACACGGCCCAGACUCCUACGGGAGGCAGCAGUGGGGAAUUUUGGACAAUGGGGGAAACCCUGAUCCAGCCAUCCCGCGUGUGCGAUGAAGGCCUUCGGGUUGUAAAGCACUUUUGGCAGGAAAGAAAUUGCGCAUAUUAAUACCAUGCGUAGAUGACGGUACCUGCAGAAUAAGCACCGGCUAACUACGUGCCAGCCGCCGCCGUAA
rnacentral:rRNA from 1 species